AAAUUGAAGAGUUUGAUCAUGGCUCAGAUUGAACGCUGGCGGCAGGCCUAACACAUGCAAGUCGAACGGUAACAGGAAGCAGCUUGCUGUUUCGCUGACGAGUGGCGGACGGGUGAGUAAUGUCUGGGAAACUGCCUGAUGGAGGGGGAUAACUACUGGAAACGGUAGCUAAUACCGCAUAACGUCGCAAGACCAAAGAGGGGGACCUUCGGGCCUCUUGCCAUCGGAUGUGCCCAGAUGGGAUUAGCUUGUUGGUGGGGUAACGGCUCACCAAGGCGACGAUCCCUAGCUGGUCUGAGAGGAUGACCAGCCACACUGGAACUGAGACACGGUCCAGACUCCUACGGGAGGCAGCAGUGGGGAAUAUUGCACAAUGGGCGCAAGCCUGAUGCAGCCAUGCCGCGUGUAUGAAGAAGGCCUUCGGGUUGUAAAGUACUUUCAGCGGGGAGGAAGGGAGUAAAGUUAAUACCUUUACUCAUUGACGUUACCCGCAGAAGAAGCACCGGCUAACUCCGUGCCAGCAGCCGCGGUAAUACGGAGGGUGCAAGCGUUAAUCGGAAUUACUGGGCGUAAAGCGCACGCAGGCGGUUUGUUAAGUCAGAUGUGAAAUCCCCGGGCUCAACCUGGGAACUGCAUCUGAUACUGGCAAGCUUGAGUCUCGUAGAGGGGGGUAGAAUUCCAGGUGUAGCGGUGAAAUGCGUAGAGAUCUGGAGGAAUACCGGUGGCGAAGGCGGCCCCCUGGACGAAGACUGACGCUCAGGUGCGAAAGCGUGGGGAGCAAACAGGAUUAGAUACCCUGGUAGUCCACGCCGUAAACGAUGUCGACUUGGAGGUUGUGCCCUUGAGGCGUGGCUUCCGGAGCUAACGCGUUAAGUCGACCGCCUGGGGAGUACGGCCGCAAGGUUAAAACUCAAAUGAAUUGACGGGGGCCCGCACAAGCGGUGGAGCAUGUGGUUUAAUUCGAUGCAACGCGAAGAACCUUACCUGGUCUUGACAUCCACAGAACCCUGUAGAGAUACGGGGGUGCCUUCGGGAACUGUGAGACAGGUGCUGCAUGGCUGUCGUCAGCUCGUGUUGUGAAAUGUUGGGUUAAGUCCCGCAACGAGCGCAACCCUUAUCCUUUGUUGCCAGCGGUCCGGCCGGGAACUCAAAGGAGACUGCCAGUGAUAAACUGGAGGAAGGUGGGGAUGACGUCAAGUCAUCAUGGCCCUUACGACCAGGGCUACACACGUGCUACAAUGGCGCAUACAAAGAGAAGCGACCUCGCGAGAGCAAGCGGAUCUCAUAAAGUGCGUCGUAGUCCGGAUUGGAGUCUGCAACUCGACUCCAUGAAGUCGGAAUCGCUAGUAAUCGUGGAUCAGAAUGCCACGGUGAAUACGUUCCCGGGCCUUGUACACACCGCCCGUCACACCAUGGGAGUGGGUUGCAAAAGAAGUAGGUAGCUUAACCUUCGGGAGGGCGCUUACCACUUUGUGAUUCAUGACUGGGGUGAAGUCGUAACAAGGUAACCGUAGGGGAACCUGCGGUUGGAUCACCUCCUUA
rnacentral:rRNA from 1 species